rnacentral:lncRNA from 1 species
UGUCAAACAUUUUCCGAUCUUGUGCUACACGAGCAAUGAACCGGGUAAUAUGAAGUGAAAUAUAAUUUUGGAUAUAAGAACAGGAAGAUAGCAGCAACUCCAAGCUACCAUGAAUGUUGGGGCGUUUGGAGAGAGGGAGGUAGCCCUCAUUGCAGACGAGCUGAGCAAUGCUGUGGAGUUGACACUCAAUCCCACUGUUGCUCAGGAUGCAAGGAAACAAGCCUAUACAGCCUG